AGUCAAGGGUUUGAUCAUGGCGUCAAUGGAGAAUUUGACCUGUAUGGCGAAGCUGGCACAGUGGCAGCAGUUUUCCUGCUGUGCUUGUGGUUUGUGUUUUUUUUGUGGUUUUGUGUUUGUGACCUUAUGGUUCAGCAGGGGCUAUGAAAAAGAGCUGCUGUUACCUCCUGCGCUGUCUCAGCAGCUGCUCAUGCUCGUGCAGCUAUUGUACCUGAAGCCAUUGCUGUAGGGUUUCUACCGCCCCAUCGGUGGGAGUGGAAUCGACGCCCCUACAGUGCGAUCCUCGCUGGUCCCCUGACCUUGUAUUGCCGGUAAGGAAGAAUUGGAAAAAAUACACCAGUCUGUAUUUGUUGCAAAUUGACGAAUUUUGCAGCACUUGCUACCUCUGGGCAUGUGGCCGAUUGCAGACUGAUUAUUGCUGAGCCCUAGGCCUUGCAAGUUCUCAGAAGAAACCUAUGAAUUAGCCUCUGGGAUGUAGCUGAUGCUAUUACCGCUCUUUAGCGACGAAAUGGCUGUAGUCUAGUGCCCUUUUCUGCGGGUUCUCAGUCUGUCGGAGUACUUACUCUGAGAGUUGUCAUUAUUAACAGCAAACACAGCGUCAAGGCUGUGCUGCAAAAGGCGGGAGGUCGUUUGCAUCUGCUUUUGUAGAUACUCUCGGGAAGUGGAACCCUGGAGUUGAAGUCAGUAUUUGCAAAACUUAGACUGCUACAAGAAAACAAUAGCCUGAUCUAUGUGUUCUGUCUUCUUUGAACAUGCGAGUGAGCAUGCGACAUGUUGGUGCCUCGAGCGGUGAAUGGAUGUCCAAUGGACGCUGUGAUUGAUACAGGAUCCGCCGCUACAUUGUUGUCAGAGGAUUUUGCCGACCGCCUACCUAAGGAGCUGGAAAAGGAAACCUCUGACCAAGGCCCGAAGUUGAUUGGCCCCAACGGCCAACCACUAGAAGCCGUGGCGUCAGCAAUUGUUCAGUUGGAACUCGGAGAUGCAACCUGUUGGCACCGGGUAAGAAUUGUUAAGGGGUUGCCGCGUGAUUGUAUUGUUGGCCGGGACGUAUUAUCCCACAUUCCUUGCACAAUUUCUUCGGGACAAGGGCGAAUGUUCUUCUCUACCUCCCCCGCCUCAAUCAGUACUGUGGGUUCGGAUUAUGGAGUGUUGAAACUGAAAUCUAAAGUGACAUAGUUGGUCUUUGACCGUCUCUUGAAGGCAGAUCUGCGGUUGAAGCCCAGUAAGUGUUUCUUGUUCCGCACAAGUGUUGAGUUCCUGGGCCACAUUGUUACCCGGGAGGGGUUAGGACCGACCCGGGUCAGAUCGAGAAAGUCAGAAACUGGCAGGGGCGUAGCACCCGCUACGACUGGUACGACCAUGGCCGUACCACUUUUCGAAAAGUGUGGUCCGUCCGGAACGUGCAAAACCGUAAUAAAAAAAUCAGGAUCCAUCGAUGCAUAUGCGCAUCAGACUUUGACCUUUUUCUAGACUCGUAGAUCUGUUAUGCAUCUGCAGUCGGACUGAGUCUACUGUACUCGACUCGACUGCAUGCACACUGCGCCAGAAGUGUGUGUGAAGUGUGCUUAAAGUUCCCAGAACGCAGGAUUUUGUGUCUUUUUUACAAAAUUUUCCCGGUGGAGGUCCCCCGGACCCCUUCCAAAACGGCCUUCGGCCGCGCCAACCUUUGGUCAUACCACUUCCAAAACCCCUCCUACGCCCCUGAAGCUGUUGGAGAAGUGCGUGGUUUCUUGGGAUUCUGUGGGUAUUAUAGGCGGUUUGCCCAAGAUUUUGCCACCAUUGCCCCGCCCCUUGUACAGCCUGACAAAAACUGGCCAAGUGUUUUUGUGGACUCCUGACUGUGAAACCGCUUUCCUGAAUCUGAAGACAGUGCUGACGACCGCCCCAGUACUAGCUUACCCCAGGUUUGGGCAAGAUGCAUCACCAUUUCUGGUAGACGUAGAUGCUAGUGGACUAGGGUUAGGAGCAGUGCUGUCUCAGGUUCAGGAAGGUCUGGAACGGCCGAUAGCGUAUGCUAGUCGACUUCUGGCCGAUACAGAAACACGGUACGCAUCCACGAAAAAGGAAUUGUUGGGUUUGGUGUGGGCUGUGCGCCAUUUUCGUUGCUACCUGCUUGGUAAAAGAUUUGUGAUUCGUACUGAUCAUCGUUCUCUAGAACACUUGGCUAAUUUCAAAAAUCCACCGGCGAUUGUGGCUCGCUGGCUGGAAUUUUUGUCUGAAUUUGAGUUCACCAUAUUGUACAGGGCCGGUCGAUCACACGCUAAUGCUGAUGCACUGUCACGCCGCCCUGACGCUCCGACGACGCUGUUCGUAGGGGCCGUGAACAACGACGUUGGCAACAUCCCCACACCCGUUUCAACUGGCCGUGGUCAAGAUGGGAAACGGAACAGGAGAAGGACCGAGAUCUCGCCCAAGUAGUGUCCUGGCUAGGUAUGGACUCUCCGCCUUGCCCACAGGACAUGAUGGGUAGCAGCCCUGAGUGUUUGCUUUCUGCUUGGCAUAGAUAAGACCAGGACAACUGCGUACCAUCCACAGAGUGACGGUCUGGUUGAAAGAUUCAACCAGACGCUUGAGCGUGGCCUGGCGCACUAUGUCUGCAGGAAAUUCGCCAGGAAUCAUGGAGAUUGGGACAUCAAGUUGCCAGCCUUCUUGAUGGGAUACCGCUCGACGCCGCAGACUAGUACCGGCUACAGUCCAAGCUAUCUGCUCUUUGGUCGGGAGUUAUGCCUACCUCAAGACUUGGCAUUUGGAUUACCGCCAGGAGAAGCAUCCGCAGUAGCGUCCCAGCCGGAAUUUGUGAGUGCUCUCCGCCGACGCCUGGAGGACGCUCAUGCACAGUUCCGGGAACACCUGGGCAACGUGCACCGCUAUCAAGCGCAUAUCCGUGAUCGCAACGCUAAGGCCGUGGCGUGUGCAGCAGGUGACACAAGGGAGGUUCUGCUCUACGUUUUGGGAACGCGACGCAAAGAAUCACGCGAACUUUCUUCGCGUUCCCGUAACGUAAAGAAAUGCUGUUCUGCUCUACGUUUCACCUAGAGAAGUCACGUGGAAUGUGUACUGGGAAUUUCCCCUUCCAUAUUUGGCAGUUUUCUGCAUGCAGUUGAUCGAUACCCAGUAAAUCCGUACGCAUUUUCUCUGCGUGUGCCACAACGUAGAGAACCCCAUCUCCGCGUAGAAAUCUGGAGCCAAAACACGCGAAGCCGUAGACUCUAACCCAGACACCUGCUCUCUACGUGAUUUCUCUACGUUUCACGUAUAGCAGAACCUCCCUAGAGUGUGGCUUCUGGUGCCGGCUAUUCCGACGGGUACAACCGCCAAGUUUUCUAGACUGUGGCACGGACCGUACCUAGUCAUGGAGAAGCUCUCAGCCGUCACCUACCACAUCAAGCUGUCUGAGCCCACGGCACGUCGGCUGAUAGUGCACGUCAACCGGCUGAAAAGUUGCCAUCAUCGUGAAGACGAAGAACUGUUGGUUUUGACAACAUGAUACUCAGUUGAUUCGAUGUUUAAUUCCUCUUUGUACUUCGAAGUAUUUCUGACUGUACAGCUGCUUCGCAGUACUUUCCGUUUUAGUAAUGAUUACGCUUCAUCAAUGUUCUCUUCGUUCAAGUAAUUUAUUUAUUAUUUAUCUUUUGAAUCUUGGUCUGUUGCGGACUGUGCACGUGUUUCUGUACAUCAGUAGUAUACGCUAGCGUUGUACAUCUUGUAUGAUGACUUUGUACGUGCAUGCAUGCAGGCAUGCCAGCUUGUAUUUUCGGCGGAUCUUUUUGGCUUUAGGGGGUUGGUCAUGGAGGUUUGCUUCGACUUGUAAUUCAUAUUUUGCUCUCCCAAUUCAUAAUGACAAUCUACUCGUGUAACCUA